ensembl:ncRNA Y22F5A.8 ncRNA
AAGAAAAGAAUAGAAAAAAGGAAAGUUUGGUGAAGUGGCAAACGGGAAGAGUCCGUCAAUUGUUGUCGAGAGGCGACC